GAAAGUUUGUUCAGGUUUGUCCC
rnacentral:miRNA from 1 species